AAUCACUAUCACUCCCUGGAACACAACAAGGUGUGUCAAAUCACUAUCACUCCCUGGAACACAACAAGGUGUGUCAAAUCACUAUCACUCCCUGGAACACAACAAGGUGUGUAAAAUCACUAUCACUCCCUGGAACACAACAAGGUGUGUAAAAUCACUAUCACUCCCUGGAACACAACAAGGUGUGUCAAAUCACUAUCACUCCCUGGAACACAACAAGGUGUGUAAAAUCACUAUCACUCCCUGGAACACAACAAGGUGUGUCAAAUCACUAUCACUCCCUGGAACACAACAAGGUGUGUCAAAUCACUAUCACUCCCUGGAACACAACAAGGUGUGUCAAAUCACUAUCACUCCCUGGAACACAACAAGGUGUGUAAAAUCACUAUCACUCCCUGGAACACAACAAGGUGUGUAAAAUCACUAUCACUCCCUGGAACACAACAAGGUGUGUCAAAUCACUAUCACUCCCUGGAACACAACAAGGUGUGUCAAAUCACUAUCACUCCCUGGAACACAACAAGGUGUGUAAAAUCACUAUCACUCCCUGGAACACAACAAGGUGUGUCAAAUCACUAUCACUCCCUGGAACACAACAAGGUGUGUCAAAUCACUAUCACUCCCUGGAACACAACAAGGUGUGUCAAAUCACUAUCACUCCCUGGAACACAACAAGGUGUGUCAAAUCACUAUCACUCCCUGGAACACAACAAGGUGUGUAAAAUCACUAUCACUCCCUGGAACACAACAAGGUGUGUAAAAUCACUAUCACUCCCUGGAACACAACAAGGUGUGUAAAAUCACUAUCACUCCCUGGAACACAACAAGGUGUGUCAAAUCACUAUCACUCCCUGGAACACAACAAGGUGUGUCAAAUCACUAUCACUCCCUGGAACACAACAAGGUGUGUAAAAUCACUAUCACUCCCUGGAACACAACAAGGUGUGUCAAAUCACUAUCACUCCCUGGAACACAACAAGGUGUGUAAAAUCACUAUCACUCCCUGGAACACAACAAGGUGUGUCAAAUCACUAUCACUCCCUGGAACACAACAAGGUGUGUCAAAUCACUAUCACUCCCAGGAACACAACAAGGUGUGUAAAAUCACUAUCACUCCCUGGAACACAACAAGGUGUGUCAAAUCACUAUCACUCCCUGGAACACAACAAGGUGUGUAAAAUCACUAUCACUCCCUGGAACACAACAAGGUGUGUCAAAUCACUAUCACUCCCUGGAACACAAUAAGGUGUGCAAAAUCACUAUCACUCCCUGGAACACAAUAAGGUGUGUAAAAUCACUAUCACUCCCUGGAACACAACAAGGUGUGUAAAAUCACUAUCACUCACGUGAAGGUAUUUCAGGUGCUCUUGACUUAGCGUGGAGUUUGCACAUUUGGGACCAUUCCAUUGGUUAUAUUGUACACAGCAAACUAUAUCAAGCAUAGCUCAAGUGUUGAAAAACAUGUGACAUGAUGAUGUGUUUGACCCAGGUCUACGUGAUCCAAUUCAAAUAACGUCAAGAGGGACCUAGCAUGCUACUCUAAAUCAAUGUGAGAGGAUACCGUUUGGAAAGAAAAGAGAUGUGUCU